rnacentral:lncRNA from 1 species
CGCAUCUGGUUGAGGUCUCUUGUAUUCUUUGAGCAAAAAAACAUGGAACAUAUCAUAUAUCAUAUUGAUGCAGGUAACUCAAGCUGAUAGGCCACUAUUCCUAUCUUGUUCAAGACCUUAAAAGGCCCAAAAUACUUCAAGAGCAACUUGUGAUGCUUCUGUUUAGUUAUCGUCAACUGUCGAUACUGCUGAAGCCAUAACCAUACCCAAUCCCCAACUUCAAAAUUCAACUCUCUAUGCCCCAAAUCAUAACUGUUCUU